GAUGAACGCUGGCGGCGUGCCUAAUACAUGCAAGUCGAGCGAACAGACGAGGAGCUUGCUCCUCUGACGUUAGCGGCGGACGGGUGAGUAACACGUGGAUAAUCUACCUAUAAUACUGGGAUAACUUCGGGAAACCGGAGCUAAUACCGGAGAAUAUAUUGAACCGCAUGGUUCAAUAGUGAAAGACGGCGUUGCUGUCACUUAUAGAUGCAUCCGGGCCGCAUUAGCUAGUUGGUAAGGUAACGGCUUACCAAGGCGACGAUGCGUAGCCGAACUGAGAGGGGGGUCGGCCGCACUGGAGCUGAGACAGGGUCCAGACUCCUACGGGAGGCAGCAGUAGGGAAUGGGCGGCAGUGGGCGGAAGCCUGACGGAGCAGGGCCGCGUGAGUGAUGAAGGUCUUGGGAUCGUAAAGCUCUGUUAUUGGGGGAGAACAAAUGUGUACGUAGCUAUGGACGUCUUGACGGUACCGGGUAAGGAAGCCACGGCUAACUACGUG
rnacentral:rRNA from 1 species